GGAGCCAUGAGCUCUUCCUGCAAUUCAAGCCCUAUCAAAAUCGCACUCCCAUAGGCUCUCCAAGUAUGGAAAAAGCAGUGACUGUGCUGCACCAGAGCCACCAGCAAUCCCAGCCCUUAUUCGUAGAUGGCCACACGGCAUAUAGACGAUCGCUUACUUUAACCCACAGGCCUCCCAAAGAAACCAGCUGCAGCACAUUCUCACCUCGGUGAAGGCUGCAGGGAACCGAGGAGAGCCCUGGAGGCAUCAUUUCAUAGAUUCCAGAAGACCUAGACACCAAGUCACAAGGUUUUUCAAGCUGUUUGUCACCCAGGCUGGAGUGCAGUGUCGGGCUCAAGCAAUCCUCCCACCUCAGCUUCCUGAGAACUGCAGGCUUAUGCCAUCACGGCCACCUCAUUUUUCUUGUAGAGAUGGGAGUCUCACUGUUGUCUAGGCUGGUCUCAAGCCAUCUCCACACCCAGGCUUCCCAAGGUGUUGGGAUUACAGAGUCGUCUUCAGGACAUAAUCCUCAGACCUGCUAAAAGUAGGAGAAGCUGCAGCAGCCUUCAAGUCAGCACCAGGGCUGCAGGAGCAGGUCCCCUCACCAGCAUUUCAACCAAGUUAGUUAGGGCUGGGAUACAGGAAACACGCACUAAGCCAUUUCCAUUGGGAUGGGUGAAGCAAGUGGCAGAGCUGGCUUUGCCAUGCUCUCCAGUGACAGUCCAGGGGAAACACUCUUUAGGAAGUAACACGUCUGGCACCAGAGUUGACUUUUAAUUUGUCCUAAAGCCGCUGAAGCAAAAACCAUGAUAAAACAUUCUGCUUUCUUUUCUUUUACAACCCCACGAACGCAAAAGAAAAAAACAAAAAAACAAAAAGAAA